UACGUAGGGUGCAAGCGUUGUCCGGAAUCAUUGGGCGUAAAGCGCGCGUAGGUGGUCAUGUAAGUCCGCUGUGAAAGUCAAAGGCUCAACCUUUGAAAAGCCGGUGGAUACUGCAUGACUAGAGUACGGAAGAGGCGAGUGGAAUUCCUGGUGUAGCGGUGGAAUGCGCAGAUAUCAGGAGGAACACCAAUAGCGAAGGCAGCUCGCUGGGACGUUACUGACACUGAGGCGCGAAAGCGUGGGGGAGCGAACAGG
rnacentral:rRNA from 1 species